rnacentral:rRNA from 1 species
UACGAAGGGGGCAAGCGUUGUUCGGAAUUAUUGGGCGUAAAGGGAGCGUAGGCGGUUCGGCAAGUCUUUAGUGAAAUCUCUGGGCUCAACUCAGAGUCUGCUGGAGAAACUGCCGGGCUGGAGUAUGGGAGAGGUGAGUGGAAUUCCCGGUGUAGCAGUGAAAUGCGUAGAUAUCGGGAGGAACACCUGUGGCGAAAGCGGCUCACUGGACCAUUACUGACGCUGAUGCUCGAAAGCUAGGGGAGCAAACAGGGAUUAAGAAACCCUAG